UUGAGGUAAAGAAUUAUAAUAACCUGCGGAGUCUCCCUUAAAUCUGAUUACCUCCUCUUUCUCUUUCUCUCUCAGAAUGGAGUACUCCAGAGCAAUGUUCUCCACUUCUCCCACGGCAUCAUGACACCCCUAAAUCUCUCUUCUAAUUAGGAUAUUCUUCUCUGGGCUCUCAGGUCCCUGGAGGUCUCAGGGACAUUGGUGCCAUGUUCAGUGUCUAAAAGUAACACUGAACAAUGCAGUUUACUUACAUCUUUUUCUGUUUGACACAAGACAGUUAUUGGUAAGUAUAAUUAUUCGAUAUAGUUAUUUUCCAUGUUUAAAAUAUGAAAAUAUGCAAUAUAGGUUGGUACUAGGAGGGGAAAUCUGCUUCUGAUCAAAAUUUUAUUUUAAAUAUCGUUUUUAUUUCUUUUGUCCUAAGUUAUAUACUUUUUCUUCUAUUACUUAUUGUGAAGUUACUUUAAAACAAAACAAAAUCAAGGAAAGCAAUCAACCAAGAUUUAAAAACUAAUAAUAGCAGAAUCUCCUCAGUUCUUUCCUCUUCUCCACAUAAUAGCAGAAUCUCCUCAGUUCUUUCCUCUUUUCCACUCCAUCCUGCCUUCACAGAUUUUUUGGUUUCCAAGGGUAGUGGAAACAUUUUAGAUAUUUACGCCAAAG
rnacentral:lncRNA from 1 species